rnacentral:tRNA from 1 species
UUUGGAUAGCUCAAUCGGGUAGAGCAAUCGGUUGACGCCGAUGUGUCGUGGGUUCAACUCCCACUCCAAAACCA